GAUGAAGAACGUAGCGAAAUGCGAUAAGUAGUGUGAAUUGCAGAAUUCAGUGAAUCAUCGAAUCUUUGAACGCACAUUGCGCCCCAUGGUAUUCCGUGGGGCAUGCCUGUUCGAGCGUCAUUUACCCCCUCAAGCUCCGCUUGGUGUUGGGCGUCUGUCCCGCUUCGCGCGCGGACUCGCCCCAAAGGUAUUGGCAGCGGUCGUGUCAGCUUCUCGCGCAGCACAUUGCGCUUCUCGAGGCACCGGUGGGCCCGCGUCCAUCAAGCUCACCCCCCCAGUUUGACCUCGGAUCAGGUAGGGAUACCCGCUGAACUUAAGCAUAUCAAUAAGCGGAGGA
rnacentral:misc_RNA from 1 species